GACGGGUGAGUAACACUUAGGAAUCUACCUAGUAGUGGGGGAUAGCUCGGGGAAACUCGAAUUAAUACCGCAUACGUCCUACGGGAGAAAGGGGGCAGUUUACUGCUCUCGCUAUUAGAUGAGCCUAAGUCGGAUUAGCUAGUUGGUGGGGUAAAGGCCUACCAAGGCGACGAUCUGUAGCUGGUCUGAGAGGAUGAUCAGCCACACCGGGACUGAGACACGGCCCGGACUCCUACGGGAGGCAGCAGUGGGGAAUAUUGGACAAUGGGGGAAACCCUGAUCCAGCCAUGCCGCGUGUGUGAAGAAGGCCUUUUGGUUGUAAAGCACUUUAAGCAGUGAAGAAGACCUAACGGUUAAUACCCGUUAGCGAUGACAUUAGCUGCAGAAUAAGCACCGGCUAACUCUGUGCCAGCAGCCGCGGUAAUACAGAGGGUGCAAGCGUUAAUCGGAAUUACUGGGCGUAAAGCGAGCGUAGGUGGCUUGAUAAGUCAGAUGUGAAAUCCCCGGGCUUAACCUGGGAACUGCAUCUGAUACUGUUAAGCUAGAGUAGGUGAGAGGGAAGUAGAAUUCCAGGUGUAGCGGUGAAAUGCGUAGAGAUCUGGAGGAAUACCGAUGGCGAAGGCAGCUUCCUGGCAUCAUACUGACACUGGAGGUUCGAAAGCGUGGGUAGCAAACAGGAUUAGAUACCCUGGUAGUCCACGCCGUAAACGAUGUCUACUAAUCGUUGGGUCCCUUGAGGAAUUAAUGACGCAGCUAACGCAAUAAGUAGACCGCCCGGGGGAAUACGGCCGCAAGGUUAAAACUCAAAUGAAUUGACGGGGGCCCGCACAAGCGGUGGAGCCAUGUGGUUUAAUUCGAUGCAACGCGAAGAACCUUACCUGGUCUUGACAUACACAGAAUCUUGUAGAGAUACGAGAGUGCCUUCGGGAAUUGUGAUACAGGUGCUGCAUGGCUGUCGUCACCUCCUG
rnacentral:rRNA from 1 species